rnacentral:tRNA from 1 species
GUACAUGUAGCUCAGUGGUAGAGCGUCCGACGGUGUGCGGAAGGUCAUAGGUUUGACUCCUGUUGAGAGAACUCA